UGAUUUUUCUUUGAGGAGCUCUCCUUGACCUCAUCUCUGUGGCUCCAGGGCUGGGAACAUGACCCGGGCUUGGCUGAAGGGAAACUGCAUCAUCUGGCCACAGAGAUGGUUUUAAGGAGGGCAGGUGACCCAGGCGUGUAUAUCAGAUCUGGGAAUUUUGGUGACAUAACGGUGAAUGUAGCACUCUCUGCAAGAAUGCUAAGCGGGAAGAAUGUAAGUUUGGAGGUGGUGGGGGCAUCAGCACUGCCACACUGAGAUGCUGGAGCUUGACAGUGAGUCAGUACUGAGUAGUUGGGGAGGGGGUGGAGACAGAAAGAAUGAAUGGGAACGGUGACAUGAUGUGAGGUCCCUGAUCCAGCUGUUCCUGAAUGCAGUCAUACCUUGAACUUCCUGAUUAAGUGGGCCAAUAUUUUCUCACUGCCUCUACCUUUCUCUCUCCUCCUCACCCCAUUUCCUUUCUUUUCCUCUCUUUUUCCUUAAUCCAGACUGAGUUGGGUUCCUUCUACAAGCAACUCAAACAAUCCUGCUGUGGGGAAAAUGGAAGUUCCUGUGGCCAGGAUCCCCACCUGACCCUAAACUACUUGAUGAUGUAACUGGCCUGCUGCUAGGCUGCUGCUCACACACCUGUGGGCAGUAACUAGUGCUUGACUGGUGUCAACAUUUUGCUGCACUCCUGUAGAGAAGCCCCCCAGCCCCGCCCCUUCCCCUACUUUUCUACAAGGACAGCUGCCUGUUGCUUCACCCCAGAUAUGUCUGGCCUUGAGAAACCUGAAAGCACAGAGUGUUGUACCCAUGGAAAAGGAGCUAGAUAAGGGCCUUAAAGGCCAGACACCUGGCCAUGAAGACCACACACAUGUGCAUCUUAAAUACUUCUGUAACAGUGAAUUAGCAGUAUAGCAGUAUAAGAAGUGCAGCUUUGUGCAGAAUGAAGUGGCCUCUCUGAGCACCCUCCAUGACAACUCCCACCACCUUCUUAGCUCUACACAUUGCCCCCAAAACCUUAAAGGCAACCCCCAGACCCUGACAACUCCCAAUGCAGGGGCAGUGUGGAGGUGACAGGAGUAGACAGCUGACAAGGAAGUGAGUCCUAAUUCGUUUGGUUUAAAAUGCUGUGUGCACCCUGGCAGGGGCACAUACAUUUUGCACAAGUUUGGAGGUUUGCUGGCAGGAUGAUUACUAUCAAAGAAGUGUGAAAUUUGGGAAUGUGUGUUGGUGGGGAAGUUGAAGAAAUCAAAAUGACUGAAAUGCAGAUUUUAAAAUACAGGUAACUUACAGCCAGCCUCAAAACUUAGAUCACACAGUCAGCAGUUUUACAUGGUGUUUUUAUUAUUGCUCCCUCUUGAUGGUUCCUAUUGCAUAAUUUUUACUAUGUAUGGUUUGGGAACUUGCUUUGUACAUUUAGUAUCAGGCUAUUUCUCAUUUUUAUUUUCUAGCUUUUUACCUUCUUAUUCCAAAGUCACUUUGGAAAAUGUGAUUUGUGUGCAGUUUAAAUCAGUUGCUAAACACCAAAGAGUCCUGUGCAUAUGUAAUAAAGAUGUGUUGCAGGGAGAGGGUAAUGGCAGUCAUGGUUGAAAUUUUCAAAUCUGUAAUAGCGAACUUUCUGCAUAAAUAGAAUGUGAGUUCUAUGCAUCUGUUUCAUCAGGGUGGGUGACUUCUGUGGCUCAAGGAGGAACAACUGAAUCCUCUGAGGACAAAACAAGGGUAUUUAGACAGUCUGCUAUAAGGUUUUCUAAUGUUAGGGACUGAGUGUGUCUCCCUGCCCCAAUCCCCACAUUAUUAUGUUGAAAUCCUCACCCCCAGUGUGAUGGUAUUAGGAGGCAGGGCCUUUGGGAGACCAGGUCCUCACGAAUGAUGAAUGGGAUUCAGGCCCUGACAGAAGAGACCCCAGAGAGCUCCCUGCCUGCUCCAUCACGUGAAGACACAGCGAGAGGAUGGCCUCCACCGCCACUAAAGCUGCUGGUGGCUUGGUCUGGGAAUUCCCAGUGACCAGAAUGGAACUCCAAGCACACGUCGACCAUCCAGCAGACUCUGAGGCCCCCUUACCAGCUGGCCCUGGCUAGGUUCUGCCAACGGCAAUCACUGGUAAGGUAGGAGGAGAAGCAAAGAGGACCUCCCCGCUCCCGGCUUCUCUGGGUUUUUCUCUGGCUCAUCAGCAGUUCCAGAACCUCCGGUGUGGAGCCGCUGGCGGUCCCGACGCCUGUACCUGACCCCCUCUGGCUGUCCCAGAAAGGAGGAAUCCCGAGGGUUGGUGGAAUGGGCUGGACUGCAGCCCCCCCAUAUUCAUACGCUGAUGUGCUAACUACCAGUACCUCAGAACGUGGCUGUGUUUGGAGGAGGCUCCUUAGAGAGCCAAUGGAGUUAAAAUGAGGUCUUUAGGGUGGCCUUAUACUCACACCCCGAUGAGAAGAGGAGCUUGAGGCAGUCUCGCACUGAGGGAAGACCAUGUGGAGACACAGCCAGAGAGAGACAGCCGUGCCCACACCUGGACUUGGACUCGAGACCUGGGGGAAAGGAAAUGUUUGUUGUUCAAGCCACCUAUCUGUGUAUUUCUGGGGGCAGGCCUAGAUACUCUUACAGGUGGUGUCCAUUAAUCUCCAGGUUAACCCACUAUCUGUUUUCUGAAUCUUUUCUUUCUGGCCAAUUUCUCAUAUUAAGUUCCCUCUUUGAAAUGCCUGAAGUGGUUUUGUUUUCCUGACUAAAACAACUUAUAAAUAUCUUACAUGUAUGUGCUUUAUACCUGAAAGCCAUUUGGGAAAACAGACAUUGACAAAAGGAUAGAAUGAUCUUUUUUUUUUUUU